UGCACGGAAAUGUAACAAAUGGCAACCAGUGAGUUGCAUUUGAAGGUUACAAAAUAUUAAUAAAUUAAUUUAAAUAAAUAUUUUGCUUUGAGUUCAUAGCACUGGCAGAAUUUACACAUAUAAUGAAAAUAAAUGACUAAGUAGUAAUAGAACACUAGAUAUUCUUGUACUGAAACAAUUUUUAACGUAUUUAGACCGUAAACAAACCUGGCUACCACCGCGGCCAAAUUACUCUGCUUCUAUUAGUAGCAUGGAGCAACGUGACGCAAGAGCUCAGCAUUGCCUAGCUAAUCCUACAGGUCCAUCUCCGUAUGUGGCGUCCGUUUCCGUAUGUGUGCCAUUGUAGAAACUCUGUUCUGGGAGAUCUGUCUCCGUUUACUUUAUCUUUCUCAGUUUCCAUGUCAUUGUAGAACGAGCCUUAUAGCAAACUUGCAUAUUUGAACACUUGCUUAUGCAUACUUGCACACUUGUAUACUUAUGUACAUGUACACUCACUUACAUGCUUAUUCGCAUACUUUUACGCAUCUUAUACAUUCUCAUACUUCUAUCUACUUCUUCUAACAUGUGUGAUGGCCACUUAACAAUGUUUUUGUUUGGUUAUGUGGUGCAAGAAGCAAUUUUUUUUCUGGCUGACAGUAUUUUAUCUCAUAGGUACCAAAAUUUUUCCAAAACUCUCCAAUUUCUGUUGUUGUUUUGUGUUCUACCUCCCACUGCUUCUGUAACCAGCAGUACCGCGUGAGGUAGUGCAGCCGUAACACGUGAACUCACAUGAAGGACCAGAUUUUGGUUUUCCAUAAUUUCCUGAAAACACUUCAGGCAAAUAUUGAAACGGUUCCUUACAUGGUUGAUGUCUUCUCAAAUUUCCCUGAUGUGUAUAGAGUUUUUACCGGAUUAAUUUUAGAUGUAAAAACUAAAUAAAUAAACACAUUGACAAUGAAUAAUAACUACUGUAUUUUUAUUUGAAAAAAAUACUUUCCACGUUGUCCCUGUGUUUUUUAGUUCAGUACCUUUUAAAUUUGUUGUUUAUUUAAAAAAAAAAUAUUUUUUUAAAAUGCUCUGUUAUAGUUUACUUUUUGUUAGUAUUAACAAUUGGUAAAUGCCAGUAUAUUGUCAUUGUUGAUGCUCAAUGUGUUGAUCUUUUCCCAUAGAAUGCUGUUGUCUCUGUGGAAUCUCUGAAGUAAGUGGUGGUUAACCACUGCUGGAUAAGCCCUGCAAGUGCCAAAGAAAAUUAACCUUAAUCAAACUGACUACUCGAGUGCUGGAUGAUUUUUCUCCAACAACCAGUGGCCACAGCUGAAUCCUCGUGGACAAUCCUGAUCUUGGUUCACCACUGUUUCUAAAAGUAACUCAAAUCAGAUGCUUGACAAGUUCUUUGGAUGUCGUAGUUGCUAAUUGUCUCAGUGACGAGAGGCAAAUUCAUAUAAAGAAAAAAAUAUUUAUGUUUGGGAAGAUCCAUUAUUUUUGUCAUCCCAGAUUCUUGCCACAAGCCCUAUAACAUCAAAAGCACAAGUCAUGGAAGCCCUCAUUGGUAAAUUAAAGGGAAAGCCAUUUGGUCACCUGGUUGAUGAGUCUCUGUAAUGUGACAUCUAACCUUUCUGCAGCCGUUUUUGUCACCCCAUUUGGCAGGUGUGUUUUCAACACUUAAAUGCUCGGGGAAUUUACAAUCCUGAGAAUAGUUAUGGUCAUAUUCCUGCCUUAUCAAAGAGACAGACAAUAAUGAGUUUACACUUCAUUUGAAGAUUAGUGAGGUUUUGUAGUUGCAACAACGUAAUUGCUGCACUGCGUCAGCUGGUUGAGGAUGGAAGUCCAAUCAUAGGAUUGGGACCAGAACUGAAACAUAUGCGACGUGCCCUGACACUCCGCAAAUUAAAUGGGCUUCAUUAUAUUUGGUGGCUGAAUGCACAUACUAUUACUGUGUUUAAUAUAAUAGUGGUCUAAGUGAGUAAUGUCAACUAAGAGUGCAUUAUGAAAGGAUUGACUUGUUGAACUUGGGAACAGCAGGUGGAGUGAUCCAGAUCGUGAAGAGCAACCGCGGCAAGAACCAGCUACUGUUCCAAGGCUACCGCUACACCAAGCACCAGCAGUAUCCCUCCAGGACUCUGUGGCGCUGCGUGUGCUACUACUCCUCCGGCUGCCUGGCGCUGUGCAACACCGUGGGCUUCGCGUUCCUCAACGCCAAGGGUGCGCACAACCACCACCCCGCCGUGCCGCACGCCACACUGCGGGCCAUGGGCGCCCUGGGGGGAGAACCGGGCUGACGGGGGUGGCAGGGAAGGAUCUUCCACCUUGCCGUGAAUGAAUGAACUGGCGCUGAGUGUCACAGUGAUGGAGCAUUGGCAGUGCGUAUGUGAGGGAAACUGAAGACUUCGAGGAAACCCACAGGCCACUGCAACGUCUGCCACAUACCCCUCUCGUGCCGAAUUUGAGUUUGAUCCCGCCAGAAUGUGAACGCAGAUUGUGUUGGUAAGGGGCCUGUGGAUCAGGUGGACAUUGCUGUUAGCCAUGAUGUUUUUUCAGGGUACUCCUGUUUUCUUUUACCAAGGCAUUCUUAUCACUGCUCCAUCCAUCUCUAGAUCACAUUUCAUGUUUUAUUGAAAGACAGGGGUGGUACAGGAGUGACUUCUGGGAGGGGAACAGGAAGUCUGAAUAUCCAGUCUACAGUAAAAUUGGGGGAAUUAGACUUAAUAUCUAGAUAUUAAUAACUGAGCCUAAGUUAUUUAUCCAUCUUUGAUAAGUAUUAAAUAUAUUAAUUGCCCAAAAUUUACUUCAGAAGUGUUUUCAUCCGUUGCAUCACUUACCCUACUGAAGGGAGCACGCAUCCCUAUGCCACCCCUCUGGAUCCGCCACUAUUUAAGACUUUUGACAUAUACAUUUCCCACUUUAAAAGCCUGAUCAAAGUUGUGCUGCACAUACAAAAUGAAUUUAUUUAUUGGAGAUCGUGAUUGAGUUAAGAUUAUAAUUCAGUAGCAAAAUAUUUUGUUUUUCAAAAGCAACUUUGUGGUGGAAAAUUAGUUUCCAUGUAAUUUUUAAUUUUCGUGUGCAAAUUUUUUAAUGUAUAAAUGGUUAUUUAAGUGCAAGCCUUACAUUGAAAGAUACAUUAGAUGUGCAGAAGGCUGAUAUCCAAAUGGUGUUCCUUGUAGUUAUCGUUUUACUUGCAUGUUUCAGGACCUUAUACAUGCAUUAUUUUAAUACAAUGUGUGAAGAGCUUUGCUAAGCUAUAUUUUUUUAACCAAACAAAAAGUAAAGUUGUGAAUGUUUCCAUGAUUGCCAACUGUGCAAUAAUAUUGCAAAACAUAUUACAGAAAAUUUGAAUGAAUAACAGUUUAAAUAUAUAUUUUUUAAUGUAUACCUGAGAGUUGAGGUACCUAUUAACUUCAACAGUGUUACAUUAAUUUUAUAUAAAUGUUGGAAUAGUUUACCUGAUAACAGAUUGAAUAUAUUUUAAUAUGUCAUUGAUUUUUUAUUUUAUUUUGUGUGUGUACACACGCAUACACUCACUCUCACACACUGGAGUAUAGCUAAGUGUGGUGUGCAAUGCCUAAGCAGUUGGAAAUUUUGGAUACUUCCUUUGCUGUAUUUUUUCACUGUAGUUAUUAUAAAUUAACUUUACAUUUUUAGUUAUGAACCAUUGUAAUAAAGCAUCAAAACUAGAAAAUGAACAUCUAAAUAAAUUCUAAUAUAUAUAUCUGUGUGUGUGUGUGUGUGUGUGUGUGUGUGUGCGUUUGUGCGUGCGUGUGUGUGUGUCCACAUAGGUACAUUGUUCAAGCUAACUGAUGGUAAAAUGUAGUAUGAGAAGCUUUGUUUAAAGAUAUAGAUUACUUUGAUUUUUGAGCUGUAUACAUUUGUUGCUAAAAUUCCAGUCACCAGAACGCUUGUUAUAUUAUUUUAUUCAUCGCAGCUAGUUGUUUUUAAAGUGUGCGUACUGGAAGUUUUCCAGGUGCGCCUUAUUGUAUUCCAGGGAAUUAUGCAUUCAUAUAUAAAAAUAAAUAUAGUUACCAUUUAAUUAAGGAUAUAUACUGUUCUUUUUAAUAACAUCUCAUUAUUGUGUGUUAUUUAAAUGACUACAGGUUUUGCUCGAACAGUGAUUUAGUUCAGUAUAAUACUGUUUGUAAACAAGCCUAUUCCUCAGAAAUUUGUAUUAUGGUGCUCCUACAAUUAUUUGUAUAAUUUUAAAUAUGCCCCAACUUCAAAAAAUUUGGGAAUCACUGAUCUAGGCAUUUAUUUAUUCAACCUCCCAUGAAAUCUCCUUGUUCUCGUCUCUUGUGCUUAUCUCAUCAUCUAGUUCACCUCAUAUCUGUUAUAAUCUGCUUCACACAUAUCACUUUUGUCUAAAUUUCCACCUUGCCAUCAUAGUCAACUGACUAGAAAUCGUCGCACCAUUAAUCCUAUCAAUGUUGAAUUUCAGUUUAUUCAUUUUCGUACACGUUGGCCUACCACUACAAAAAAUAUAUAAAGUGCCACACUUGGACUCAUAAAAUGUUAUACAGUAUUUUGUUGUGAUAAUUUUUUUUUUUCCUUUUGAACUGUAUAAUCAAAUCUUAAAUUUUGGUUAUGUUUUUGUGCCUGUAUAUUAUUUUUGUGGGAUACAGAGGCGGGUUGCUAAAUAUUCCUUCAUCGACAGCACCAGUUGAGCCGAUUGCGCUUAGAUAUUUUUCGGUGUUUUGACCUUGACUGCCAUGUCAUGCCACUGCUCUGACCACAUUUUUUAUUUUGCGCAGUGUAUAUCGUUACAGUUGCUUUUCAUUUGAGUGUAGUGUUUUUGGUUUUCUAGUGUGUAACAUAUCACAUUUGCAUAAUAGUACAACUGUAAUUGCAGUGUGAUACAACAGCUUAUUACAACUUGUUUGAAAUACAAGUUGUCCAUAAAAGAAUGUCCCAGUUUCAGUGGUCUAUUAUAGCUGUUUAAUUCAGACUAUUUACAACAAAUAAUACAUCAAAUUGAAUGUAAACUAACCUAGUUCUUCAAUCUGUGUCUCAACACUGGCCAAUCAUUAGGUAGCGGCAGAACAUAGACACAAUCUUUUAUAAAGUCCCAAAGGAAAGAGCUCCCAUGGCAUUAUGUCAGGUGAUUUUGGAGGCCAGCGAAAAAGAGCUCUGUCAUCUUGACCAUUACGGUCAGGGACUUCAAUGUUCAACCACUCUCGUAGGGCUGAAAUUACAGAUUCACUCUUAGCAAAUUGCAGAACACAAAAUGCUUUACGCUCCGAAGUCACCAUUUUGCAUAGGUGGCACUGCAAACGAGAAAACAACAAAGCAGUAUUCGUGCAAGUGCUUAUCUAAAACUCUUUGAGUUACUGUUUAAUUGAGACCUUGAAACAACACACUACAUUGCGUACAGUUGACACUAUUUAAAGUUAUAAACGGGGACAUUCUUUUAUAGGCAAACUGUAUAUGAACUUUUUUUUUUGUAUUUCUGUUAAAACUAAAUUGACUUUCGAUCAUCCAGCAUAAUCUCUAUCCGGCACAGAUGUUGUUCCGAAUGUACUGGAAAGAAAAAAAAAUACUUCUCAAAUUAAUCAUGACACUUUGUAAGAUGGUCAUUUGUGAUGUGAUAAAGGGAUGAUGUUUUUGACAGUAAUUUAAGGAACACUAUGAGGUAAGCCUUUAGAGUGAGACAUUUUCUCCUGCCCAGGCUAUGGCAUUGGCUCACCACACCUACUGGAAAUCACUACUCGACUGCUAAACAAUUUGAAAUCAAAAUUUCAAUUUGUAAAUUAUACUUUUCAAUUGAUACAGAUGUGAAUUGUGAGGUUAUGGAUAUAAUCUCUCUUUUUUUUUUACUUAUGUUUUCAUCAUAAGUGAAAAUCAUGUGCUCAGUUUAUUGUGCAAAUCACAAAAUAAAAUUGCAUAGUUUCAAGGAAAAAUGGGGGAAAUGAGGGGGUGAUGUUUGUUGUUGAUACUUAAAGAACUUUACAAGUUACAAAUUGGCCUGCUAAUAUUAAUUUUUUUAAUUUUUGUAACUGACCCUCACAGAUAGUCAGUUGUGGAAUGUAAAGGGGUAGUUGUAUUCGUUAAGUUGAGGGGCCUUGUAGUUGUACAAUGUGACUUCCAUGUGUGGUGAUGGCUGGAUGGUUUGUUGCAUCCAACCUCAUGCAUGAUUAAUUGAGUCAUAUACUCCCUUUAUGAUGAUGCUGUUAAAGACUCUGCUUGCUCCCAGGGCGUGAUGGCGCCAUAUGGUUGGAGUACAGCAGAUAAGGCAAAGUACUCUGGGUCGUAGGCCUCCAGGAUGUUGCUAACUCCACAGUACGAAUGAAAUUAGCACAAAGGCUGGUCGCUAGAAGAUGGGGGGGGGGGGGGGGGGGGGUUAAUGGCAUUGUCGCGACCAGCAACCUUGAAGCCCCUCGACUGUUCAAAGAUCCAUUGUCACGGCGAUGCACGUAACAGCCCUAGUGGAAUUGAGGGGACACGGAAGCUUGGUAUGAUUAGUGUAUGAGCUCUGAUUUGGUACCCAAUUUAUUGAAACUGCUCCUUUUGUUCGAAGGCUACCUGUUCAUAUUUAAGGAAGGCCUUGGUGGUCAAGUGUUCAGGUAACUCGCCUCCCACUUAGGUGAAACGUUUCAACAUUGAUGUGCACCGGUGGAGGUUUCCUGUCCGUGUUUCCCGCAGUCUUUCAUUUGUUCAGUGUUUCAUUAGAGUUUAACUAAUGUCCUCGAUGUUGAAAAGACGUAAAGCUGAGUGGAUUCCAUUCCAUUUAUAAUCAAGCAAUGAAAAAAAAUUACUUUUCCGUAAAUGAAAAUAGUUGCACACGUAGUAUUCCACAGCUCAAAAAUGAGUAUAAUUUCUCCAGUUUACUACACUUUUAAAUUACAUGUACAUAAUAUUUUUUUUUUUAUUAACUUUAAACCUUAUUGGUCAAGAAUUGUUUUAAAGUUUUUUAACUGCACAUGAAUUGUAGUAUUUAUUUCGUUAACUCAUACUUGUCAAGAUCAGUGAAUUCCAACUGCAUUCAUUCCAUUGUAAGAAUUUAUAUUACAUCUUAUAAAUAGGUAGUCUUACAAGUGACUGAAAGGUGUACUGUAUUACAAGGCUGUACAUAUGUAAUAAAAUAUAGAAAUUGCAGUAAAAGUGUUUUAUGAAACUGA